GGGUUGUGAGGUUAAGCGACUAAGCGUACACGGUGGAUGCCCUGGCAGUCAGAGGCGAUGAAGGACGUGCUAAUCUGCGAUAAGCGUCGGUAAGGUGAUAUGAACCGUUAUAACCGGCGAUUUCCGAAUGGGGAAACCCAGUGUGAUUCGUCACACUAUCAUUAACUGAAUCCAUAGGUUAAUGAGGCGAACCGGGGGAACUGAAACAUCUAAGUACCCCGAGGAAAAGAAAUCAACCGAGAUUCCCCCAGUAGCGGCGAGCGAACGGGGAGCAGCCCAGAGCCUGAAUCAGUGUGUGUGUUAGUGGAAGCGUCUGGAAAGGCGCGCGAUACAGGGUGACAGCCCCGUACACAAAAAUGCACAUGCUGUGAGCUCGAUGAGUAGGGCGGGACACGUGGUAUCCUGUCUGAAUAUGGGGGGACCAUCCUCCAAGGCUAAAUACUCCUGACUGACCGAUAGUGAACCAGUACCGUGAGGGAAAGGCGAAAAGAACCCCGGCGAGGGGAGUGAAAAAGAACCUGAAACCGUGUACGUACAAGCAGUGGGAGCACAGAGCAAUCUGUGUGACUGCGUACCUUUUGUAUAAUGGGUCAGCGACUUAUAUUCUGUAGCAAGGUUAACCGAAUAGGGGAGCCGAAGGGAAACCGAGUCUUAACUGGGCGUUAAGUUGCAGGGUAUAGACCCGAAACCCGGUGAUCUAGCCAUGGGCAGGUUGAAGGUUGGGUAACACUAACUGGAGGACCGAACCGACUAAUGUUGAAAAAUUAGCGGAUGACUUGUGGCUGGGGGUGAAAGGCCAAUCAAACCGGGAGAUAGCUGGUUCUCCCCGAAAGCUAUUUAGGUAGCGCCUCGUGAAUUCAUCUCCGGGGGUAGAGCACUGUUUCGGCAAGGGGGUCAUCCCGACUUACCAACCCGAUGCAAACUGCGAAUACCGGAGAAUGUUAUCACGGGAGACACACGGCGGGUGCUAACGUCCGUCGUGAAGAGGGAAACAACCCAGACCGCCAGCUAAGGUCCCAAAGUCAUGGUUAAGUGGGAAACGAUGUGGGAAGGCCCAGACAGCCAGGAUGUUGGCUUAGAAGCAGCCAUCAUUUAAAGAAAGCGUAAUAGCUCACUGGUCGAGUCGGCCUGCGCGGAAGAUGUAACGGGGCUAAACCAUGCACCGAAGCUGCGGCAGCGACGCUUAUGCGUUGUUGGGUAGGGGAGCGUUCUGUAAGCCUGUGAAGGUGUGCUGUGAGGCAUGCUGGAGGUAUCAGAAGUGCGAAUGCUGACAUAAGUAACGAUAAAGCGGGUGAAAAGCCCGCUCGCCGGAAGACCAAGGGUUCCUGUCCAACGUUAAUCGGGGCAGGGUGAGUCGACCCCUAAGGCGAGGCCGAAAGGCGUAGUCGAUGGGAAACAGGUUAAUAUUCCUGUACUUGGUGUUACUGCGAAGGGGGGACGGAGAAGGCUAUGUUGGCCGGGCGACGGUUGUCCCGGUUUAAGCGUGUAGGCUGGUUUUCCAGGCAAAUCCGGAAAAUCAAGGCUGAGGCGUGAUGACGAGGCACUACGGUGCUGAAGCAACAAAUGCCCUGCUUCCAGGAAAAGCCUCUAAGCAUCAGGUAACAUCAAAUCGUACCCCAAACCGACACAGGUGGUCAGGUAGAGAAUACCAAGGCGCUUGAGAGAACUCGGGUGAAGGAACUAGGCAAAAUGGUGCCGUAACUUCGGGAGAAGGCACGCUGAUAUGUAGGUGAGGUCCCUCGCGGAUGGAGCUGAAAUCAGUCGAAGAUACCAGCUGGCUGCAACUGUUUAUUAAAAACACAGCACUGUGCAAACACGAAAGUGGACGUAUACGGUGUGACGCCUGCCCGGUGCCGGAAGGUUAAUUGAUGGGGUUAGCGGUAACGCGAAGCUCUUGAUCGAAGCCCCGGUAAACGGCGGCCGUAACUAUAACGGUCCUAAGGUAGCGAAAUUCCUUGUCGGGUAAGUUCCGACCUGCACGAAUGGCGUAAUGAUGGCCAGGCUGUCUCCACCCGAGACUCAGUGAAAUUGAACUCGCUGUGAAGAUGCAGUGUACCCGCGGCAAGACGGAAAGACCCCGUGAACCUUUACUAUAGCUUGACACUGAACAUUGAGCCUUGAUGUGUAGGAUAGGUGGGAGGCUUAGAAGUGUGGACGCCAGUCUGCAUGGAGCCGACCUUGAAAUACCACCCUUUAAUGUUUGAUGUUCUAACGUUGACCCGUAAUCCGGGUUGCGGACAGUGUCUGGUGGGUAGUUUGACUGGGGCGGUCUCCUCCUAAAGAGUAACGGAGGAGCACGAAGGUUGGCUAAUCCUGGUCGGACAUCAGGAGGUUAGUGCAAUGGCAUAAGCCAGCUUGACUGCGAGCGUGACGGCGCGAGCAGGUGCGAAAGCAGGUCAUAGUGAUCCGGUGGUUCUGAAUGGAAGGGCCAUCGCUCAACGGAUAAAAGGUACUCCGGGGAUAACAGGCUGAUACCGCCCAAGAGUUCAUAUCGACGGCGGUGUUUGGCACCUCGAUGUCGGCUCAUCACAUCCUGGGGCUGAAGUAGGUCCCAAGGGUAUGGCUGUUCGCCAUUUAAAGUGGUACGCGAGCUGGGUUUAGAACGUCGUGAGACAGUUCGGUCCCUAUCUGCCGUGGGCGCUGGAGAACUGAGGGGGGCUGCUCCUAGUACGAGAGGACCGGAGUGGACGCAUCACUGGUGUUCGGGUUGUCAUGCCAAUGGCACUGCCCGGUAGCUAAAUGCGGAAGAGAUAAGUGCUGAAAGCAUCUAAGCACGAAACUUGCCCCGAGAUGAGUUCUCCCUGACUCCUUGAGAGUCCUGAAGGAACGUUGAAGACGACGACGUUGAUAGGCCGGGUGUGUAAGCGCAGCGAUGCGUUGAGCUAACCGGUACUAAUGAACCGUGAGGCUUAACCUUACAACGCCGAAG
rnacentral:rRNA from 1 species